rnacentral:rRNA from 1 species
UACAGAGGGGGCAAGCGUUAUUCGGAAUUAUUGGGCGUAAAGGGCGCGUAGGCGGCUUUGCAAGUGACGGGUGAAAUCCCUCGGCUUAACCGAGGAACUGCCUGUCAGACUGCAUGGCUUGAGACCAGGAGAGGUGAGUGGAAUUCCCAGUGUAGCGGUGAAAUGCGUAGAUAUUGGGAGGAACACCAGUGGCGAAGGCGGCUCACUGGACUGGUACUGACGCUGAGGCGCGAAGGCCAGGGGAGCAAACGGG